rnacentral:rRNA from 1 species
GAUGACGCUGGCGGCGUGCCUAAUACAUGCAAGUCGAGCGAACAGAUGAGGAGCUUGCUCCUCUGACGUUAGCGGCGGACGGGUGAGUAACACGUGGAUAACCUACCUAUAAGACUGGGAUAACUUCGGGAAACCGGAGCUAAUACCGGAUAAUAUAUUGAACCGCAUGGUUCAAUAGUGAAAGACGGUUUUGCUGUCACUUAUAGAUGGAUCCGCGCCGCAUUAGCUAGUUGGUAAGGUAACGGCUUACCAAGGCAACGAUGCGUAGCCGACCUGAGAGGGUGAUCGGCCACACUGGAACUGAGACACGGUCCAGACUCCUACGGGAGGCAGCAGUAGGGAAUCUUCCGCAAUGGGCGAAAGCCUGACGGAGCAACGCCGCGUGAGUGAUGAAGGUCUUCGGAUCGUAAAACUCUGUUAUUAGGGAAGAACAAAUGUGUAAGUAACUAUGCACGUCUUGACGGUACCUAAUCAGAAAGCCACGGCUAACUACGUG